rnacentral:rRNA from 1 species
AACGAACGCUGGCGGCAUGCCUAACACAUGCAAGUCGAACGAGAUCUUCGGGUCUAGUGGCGCACGGGUGCGUAACGCGUGGGAAUCUGCCCUUUGGUUCGGAAUAACAGUUGGAAACGACUGCUAAUACCGGAUGAUGACGAAAGUCCAAAGAUUUAUCGCCAGAGGAUGAGCCCGCGUAGGAUUAGCUAGUUGGUGUGGUAAAGGCGCACCAAGGCGACGAUCCUUAGCUGGUCUGAGAGGAUGAUCAGCCACACUGGGACUGAGACACGGCCCAGACUCCUACGGGAGGCAGCAGUGGGGAAUAUUGGACAAUGGGCGAAAGCCUGAACCAGCAAUGCCGCGUGGGUGAUGAAGGCCUUAGGGUCGUAAAGCUCUUUUACCCGGGAUGAUAAUGACAGUACCGGGAGAAUAAGCUCCGGCUAACUCCGUGCCAGCCGCCGCAGUAA